CAUUAGAUAACUUAAAGUAAGUAAUGAUCUCUUAAAUCAAUUUAUAAUAGUUUAACAUCUAUUUCUAAUGA
rnacentral:tRNA from 1 species